CUCUCAGCUGCUGCGGAUACAACAACAUUCUUCAGUGCAGCGGCAGCAGCAUCAUCCUCCUCUGUCAAUACAACACCAACAAUGGCCACAACAACAACUACAACAACAGCUAAAGAUGGUAAGUGAUAUUUGAAGUCUGCAGAACACAGUUACAAUUUUAAAUGGAAGCCACAAGCAAUAACAUCCCCACAGACUCCACAGUAAGGAUAUGGUACAAUGACAAUUUCACAGCACUUUCAAGGACAUAUGCAUUCAUCAUGAUGUUGUCGAGUGACUAACUGCUUCAAAACAGCCAUAAAGCUUGGUUCUUAACAAGCCAUAACCAAACCGAAACAAAACUGAACUGAGCCGUUACCAACGAAACAGACAGACAGAUAGACAGACAGACCGGCACAACGACCAGUCAACAAACCCAUUAAACACCAUUUAUAACGCUGCCCACGAUGAUGAUGAUGAGGUGGAGAAGGAGGAAGAGCAAAUAGAGGAGGAACAAGAGGAGUUACUGUCUUUGUCUGCUCUUCAAUGGCUGCAAAACUUUCAUUAUGGCAUUUUAUUGUCCUGGCGACCAUUUUUGGCCUGCAUGUGCGACAGGCUGCCAUUGUUGUUGUUGUUAUAGGAUAGAAAAUGGCUGCCUUGUUGGCCAUCGGCGGCAUCGGGCAUCGCAAUGUCAAACGCGCAUUUGCCAGUCGCUGUCAACGUUGGCAUAACUAGCAUGUGUGUGCUUGUGUGUGUGGGAGUUGCCAGAUGCCAGAACUGGCAACAGCUGUAGGCAAGCGCAAUAACAACAACCGCAUGGGGAAAUU